UGCAAGUCGAGCGAGCGGAAACUAACAGAUUUUACUUCGGCAAUGACGUUAGGAAAGCGAGCGGCGGAUGGUGAGUAACACGUGGGGGAACCUGCCCCAUAGUCUGGGGAUACCACUUGGAAACAGGUGCUAAUACCGGAUAAGAAAGCAGAUCGCACGAUCAGCUUUUAAAAGGCGGCGUAAAGCUGUCGCUAUGGGGGAUGGGCCCCGCGGUGCAUUAGCUAGUUGGUAAGGUAAAGGCUUACCAAGGGCGAUGAUGCAUAGCCCGAGUUGAGAGACUGAUCGGCCACAUUGGGGACUGAGACACGGCCCAAACUCCUACGGGAGGCAGCAGUAGGGAAUCUUCCACAAUGGACGCAAGUCUGAUGGAGCAAACGCCGCGUGAGUGAAGAAGGUUUUCGGAUCGUAAAGCUCUGUUGUUGGUGAAGAAGGAUAGAGGUAGUAACUGGCCCUUUAUUUGACGGUAAUCAACCAGAAAGUCACGGGCUAACUACGUGCCAGCAGCCGCGGUAAAU
rnacentral:rRNA from 1 species